GAUGAACGCUGGCGGCGUGCCUAAUACAUGCCAGUCGAGCGAACAGACGAGGAGCUUGCUUCUCUGACGUUAGCGGCGGACGGGUGAGUAACACGUGGAUAACCUACCUAUAAGACUGGGAUAACUUCGGGAAACCGGAGCUAAUACCGGAUAAUAUAUUGAACCGCAUGGUUCAAUAGUGAAAGACGGUUUUGCUGUCACUUAUAGAUGGAUCCGCGCCGCAUUAGCUAGUUGGUAAGGUAACGGCUUACCAAGGCAACGAUGCGUAGCCGACCUGAGAGGGUGAUCGGCCACACUGGAACUGAGACACGGUCCAGACUCCUACGGGAGGCAGCAGUAGGGAAUCUUCCGCAAUGGGCGAAAGCCUGACGGAGCAACGCCGUGUGAGUGAUGAAGGUCUUCGGAUCGUAAAACUCUGUUAUUAGGGAAGAACAAAUGUGUAAGUAACUAUGCACGUCUUGACGGUACCUAAUCAGAAAGCCACGGCUAACUACGUG
rnacentral:rRNA from 1 species